rnacentral:rRNA from 1 species
AUAAGCUAUAUAAGAGCGUACGGUGGAUGCCUAGGCUCUCAGAGGCGAUGAAGGACGUGAUAAGCUGCGAUAAGCUACGGGGAUUGGCACACACAAUUUGAUCCGUAGAUUUCCGAAUGGGGAAACCCACUAUAUUGAAGAUAUAGUAUCCGUUAAGGAAGCAAACCCAGGGAACUGAAACAUCUAAGUACCUGGAGGAAUAGAAAACAAAAGUGAUUCCGCUAGUAGUGGCGAGCGAACGCGGAACAGCCCAAACCAAAAUUGUUUCGGCAAUUUUGGGGUUGUAGGACCACGAUAUUGAAUGUUUAAUGAAUUAGAAUUCUUUGGAAAAAGAAACCAUAGAGGGUGAUAGUCCCGUAUAAGUAAAGAGAAUUAUUCAUAGUGGUAUCCUGAGUAGCGCGGGACACGUGUAAUCCUGUGUGAAUCUGGCGGGACCAUCCGCUAAGGCUAAAUACUCCUGAGAGACCGAUAGUGAACUAGUACCGUGAGGGAAAGGUGAAAAGAACCUUGAAUAAAGGAGUGAAAUAGACCCUGAAACCAUACGCUUACAAGCGGUCGGAGCCAUUCGUGGUGACGGCGUGCCUUUUGCAUAAUGAGCCUACGAGUUACCGUUUCUAGCAAGGUUAAGUACUUCAGGUAUGGAUCCGUAGCGAAAGCGAGUCUGAAUAGGGCGCUUUAGUUAGUGGCGGUAGACGCGAAACCGUGUGAUCUACCCAUGGGCAGGGUGAAGCUAUAGUAACAUAUAGUGGAGGCCCGAACCCGUUGACGUUGAAAAGUCUUGGGAUGACCUGUGGGUAGGGGUGAAAGGCCAAUCAAACUCGGAAAUAGCUCGUACUCCCCGAAAUGCAUUUAGGUGCAGCGUUGAUUUAGUUUUAUAGAGGUAGAGCUACUGAUUGGAUGCGGGGGUUUCACCACCUACCAAUUCUUGACAAACUCCGAAUGCUAUAAAAUGAUGAUCAGCAGUGAGGGCAUGGGUGCUAAGGUCCAUGUCCGAGAGGGAAAGAACCCAGACCAUCAGCUAAGGUCCCAAAAUGUAUGUUAAGUUGAAUAAACGAGGUUGAACUGCCCAGACAGCUAGGAUGUUGGCUUGGAAGCAGCCAUUCAUUUAAAGAGUGCGUAACAGCUCACUAGUCGAGCGGUUCGGCAUGGAUAAUAAUCGGGCAUAAACAUACUACCGAAGCUAUGGACUUGUAAAAGUGGUAGGGGAGCAUUGUAGUGUCGCCGAAGGGGAAGCGUAAGCUUCCCUGGAGAAGCUACAAAAGAAAAUGUAGGCAUAAGUAACGAUAAUGCGGGCGAGAAACCCGCACACCGAAAGACUAAGGUUUCCUCAGCUAUGCUAAUCAGCUGAGGGUUAGUCGGGACCUAACGCGAACCCGAAAGGGGUAGUGGAUGGACAACAGGUUAAUAUUCCUGUACCUGCUCACAUUAAACGUGACGGAGGCGUGGAUUUGGUGCGUACUGACGGAAUAGUACGUUGAAGCCAGUGGUAACACGGCAAUAGUACACUGAAACUUCGGUGGAUGUGAUAAUCCAGAGUAGCGACUUCCAAGAAAAACAAGUGAAGCAGCCCGUACCCUAAACCGACACAGGUAGUCGGGAUGAGAAUUCUAAGGUGCUCGAGUGAUUCAUGGCUAAGGAACUAGGCAAAAUAGACCCGUAACUUCGGGAGAAGGGUCGCCCAUCUUCGGAUGGGCCGCAGUGAAAAGGUCCAGGCGACUGUUUAUCAAAAACACAGGGCUAUGCUAAAUCGAAAGAUGAUGUAUAUGGCCUGACACCUGCCCGGUGCUGGAAGGUUAAGUGGAGGGUUUAGCUUCGGCGAAGAUCUGAAAUGAAGCCCCAGUAAACGGCGGCCGUAACUAUAACGGUCCUAAGGUAGCGAAAUUCCUUGUCGGGUAAGUUCCGACCUGCACGAAUGGUGCAACGAUCUGGACACUGUCUC